UUGUCAAAUCGCUACGUUGUACAUAUGAAACUAAUGUGACGCUGCAUGUUGAUGACACUUCAAUAAAACAAAAAAGGGACCCAGAUUAUCUCUUGAAAUAACAUACCUCCUCCAGAGUUGUCUUGGAGCUGCUCUUUGGCUGAUUUACAAUAGAGAAACGCUUUUCAGCCACAAGUGUUAAGUAGGAAAGGCAGUGUGGCUUAACGUAUAAUGUAUUGGGGCUGUAGGGACUCACUAAUUUUCAGCCUGCCUUCUCCUAUUUUGUAGCAAUGAUGCUAUUCCAGGAACCCGGGUCCUAUGAGGGCAGAAACCAAAGGGACAAUAUUUUAGAGAAGGAAAGUUUCACCGUUACAGGUUGUCAUAGGUGCUCUGCCAAAGGAUCUGAAGCAAAAUGGUCUUAUAAAAAGGGCCUGGACUUGGAAACCACACCUCAGAGGUAGAUUCUAAUCCUAGCCCUGACUGGAUGAACUUCAACAAGUUAUUUCAUCUCUCAAGGUUCAGCUUCCUCAUCUGCAAAAUGGGGAUAACUUAUCUUACUGGAUUUCUAUGAGUACUUAGUAAGAUAAAGGACUUAAAAGGCCCUUUAAGUCACCAGCCAAAGGGACAGAGCUUCUUCCCACCUGUGAAUCUAUAAGGGGAAAGGCUGCCUGAAUGCUCACUGUUGGAUUCCUAGUGCCUGGUACCUGAUACGGAGGAUGCUCAAUGCUUAUUUGUGGAAGGAAGGAAGAAAGAAGGAAAGGAAAGCAGGCAUGGAGGAAGAAAGAAAAG